AAUUUAUCAGCCUCCCCAGAUCUAAGCAAAAGCAGCAGAAAAGAUCUAGAUGGAGUUUCACUUUCGUUGCCUAGUCUGGACUGGAAUGGUGUGAUCUUGUCUCACUGCAACCUCCGCCUCCUGGGUUCAAGCAAUUCUCCUGCCUCAGCCUCCCGAGUAGCUGGGAUUACAGGUUCGUUCCCCCAUGCCCAGCUAAUUUUUGUGUUUUUUUAGUAGAGACGGGGUUUCACCAUGUCCGCCAGGCUGGUCUUGAAUUCCUGACCUCAAGUGAUCCGUCCGCCUCGACCUCCCAAAGUGCUGAGAUUACAGGCAUGAGCCACCGCGCCCGGCCGAUGUUUUCAUUCUUCCAGCACUUCUCUCUCCUCAUUCUUCCUUGUAAACCCGAAUCACAGCUCCUCCUCAAAAAUCACUCCUGAGGUCUCAGCCGUCAUCUCUAGCCACCAUCAUAAAACACUAGACUUCUGCCAACCCAUAACUUCUUCCAUGCCCUGUCACUAACUUGCUCUGUGAUUCUGGGAAAGUCUGGCCUCUUUCUGGACCUCAGUCCUUUCA
rnacentral:lncRNA from 1 species